rnacentral:lncRNA from 1 species
AGGACAUUCAGGGAAGAAUCCAAGAGGUGGAGGAGAAGAGCUUACAGAUUACUGGGGACUGGUCCUUGGCUGAGGAGGCAGUGAUGGUGAAAGAUGAGUGCCUCGUAGGAACAGUGAAGAGAUUGGUGUAGCUUCAGAAGGCACAAGGGGAGGCCGAGGUUCAAGAGGUAAGACUGAGCUGGGCAGAUGUUUUAACAGGAUCAUUCCAGCUACUGUGCUGAGAAUAGACUCCAGGAAGGGCAUGGCAGAAACAGGAAGACCAGUUAGGAGCGCAGCAAUAAUCCAGGGCAGAGAUGCUGCGAUUUGACCCAGGUGUUGGUCCCCAGCAAGCACACUGCAUCCCAAACUCCCUCUAAGCAUCUGCUUAGAACCCAACCGGAAACAAACCCAAUGCCUCUCAGCCGGAGGAUGGAUACAUCAAUAGUGGCAUAUUGAUACAAUGAAAUCCUAUGCAGCAACGAAACGGAAAAAAAAAAUCAAUACACAUGACAACAUAAAGGACUGGAAUGCACUGUGCUGAAUGCAGGGAGCAUUCAGAGUUCAUGUUGUAUGAGUCCAUUUACAUAUACGUCUAGAACAGGCAAAACUGAUCUGUAGUAACAGAAAGCAGACCUGUGGUUGCCAGGGGCUGACCAUGUGGGAUUAACAGCUUAAUAUGUUGGCUUGGCUCAGCACAGUCACAGGUGGACAGCCCAGUUCCACGCAGCACGUGUAGACCAGGCAAUAUACAACCACCAAGAGGGAUCUUGCUUCCUAUUGUGUCCGGAAUUGGUGGGUUCUUGGUCUCACUGACUUCAAGAAUGAAGCCGCGGACCCUCGUGGUGAGUAUUACAGUUCUUAAAGGUGGUGGGUCCAGAGUUUGUUCCUUCUGAUGUUCGGACUUGUUCGGAGUUUCUUCCUUCUGGUGGGUUCGUGGUCUCGCUGGCUUCAGGAGUGAAGCUGCAGACCUUCGUGGUGAGUGUUACAGCUCUUGAGGUGGCGCGUCUGGAGUUGUUCAUUCCUCCCGGUGGGUUCAUGGUCUCGCUGGCCUCAGGAGUGAAGCUGCAGACCUUUGCAGUGAGUGUUACAGCUCAUAAAGGCAAUGUGGAACCAAAGAGUGAGCAGCAUCAAGAUUUAUUGCAAAGAGCAAAAGAACAAAGCUUCCACAGCGUGGAAGGGGACCCCAAUGGGUUGCCACUGCUGGCUCCAGCAGCCUGCUUUCAUUCCCUUAUCUGACCCCACCCACUUCCUGCUGAUUGGCCCAUUUUACAGAGAGCUGAUUGGUCUGCUUUGGCAGCAUGCUGAUUGGUGAAUUUACUAUCCCUGAGCUAGACACAGAGUGCUGAUUGGUGUAUUUACAAUCCUCUAGCUAGACGUAAAAGUUCUCCAAGUCCCCACUAGAUUAGCAAGGCACAGAGCACUGAUUGGUGUAUUUACAAACCUUAAGCUAGACACAGAGUGCUGAUUGGUGCGUCUACAAACCUUGAGCUAGACACAGGGUGCUGAUUGGUGCGUUUACAAACCUUGAGCUAGAUACAGAGUGCUGAUUGGUGUAUUUACAAUCCUCUAGCUAGACAUAAAAGUUCUCCAAGUCCCUACUAGAUUAGCUAGACACAGAGCACUGAUUGGUGCAUUUACAAACCUUGAGCUAGCCACAGUGUGCUGACUGGUGCAUUUACAAACCUUGAGCUAGCCACAAAGUGCUGAUUGGCACAUUUACAAACCUUUAGUUAGACAUAAAAGUUCUCCAAGUCCCCACCUGACUCAGGAGCCCAGCUGGCUUCGCCUAGUGGAUCCCGCUCCAGGGCCACGUGAGGAGUUGCCCGACCAUCCCAUGCUGCGUGCCCACACUCCUUUGCCAUUGUGUAGUCGAUGGGACCAGGCUCCGUGGAGCAGGGGGGGUUAGGGCAUGGCGGGCUGCAGGUCCCAAGCCCUGCCCCGCAGGGAGGCGGCUGAGGCCCGGCAAGAAUUUGAGCAUGGCACAGGUGGGCCAACAGUGCUGGGGGACCCGGUGCACCCUCCACAGCUGAGCCCACGCCCACCCGGAACUCGUGCUGGCCCCAGUUCCUGCCCAUGCCUCUCCCUCCACACCUCCCCACAAACAGAGGGAGCCGGCUCUGGCCUCAGCCAGCCCAAAGAGGGGCCCCCACAGUGCAGUGGUGGGCUGAAGGGCUCCUUGAGCAUGGCCAGAGUGGACGCCGAGGCUGAGGAGGCACUGAGAGUGAGCGAGGGCUGCUAGCACAUUGUCACCUCUCAAUCCCCCCUCUAAACUGGACACUCCAACUGCUGUUGGGAAUUUGGCCGAUGACUGCUCUAGCUACUUCCUGCUGGAUAGGGGUGAUGAAGGGGCCCUGCAGUUGUAGUGUCCUCCAGAGGGGAACUCUUUAGGCCAGUGGAAGGGCCAGCAGGUCAGUCCAGGUGUCCUCGGUAGAAGUUGUUAGUUGAACUCAUUUGGGGUUCCAUUUGUAAGACCAUCUGUAGCUUGAUGGCCUCGAUUCUAGAGGAAACAAAUUUGACAAGAAGGUUAAAAAUACAGGGCCCAAAGGCAAGUAACAGCAAGAUGGCUGCCACAGGACCUAGAAAGGGGAGGGAGAAGCCAUGUGGCCCAACUCCAGAGGUUGGUAUAAGAGUUUGAAAGACGUUGCCUGAUUUCAGAAGCCUUUUCCUGUAAACACCGGGUGGCAUCUCACACUAUCCAUGACUGGUUAGUGUAAAAACAACAGUCUUCCCCUAAGAAGGUGCAGAGUCCUCCUUUCUCAGCAGUGAGGAGGUCUAGGCCUCGGUGGUUUUGGAGAGUCACUGCUGUCAAAGAGUCUAUUUGGGAUUGUAGAGUAAGGAUAGAUUUCGUUAUUUCUUGCAAACUGUCUGAAAAAUCCUUUGAGAGUGUCUGGUAGUAGGAUAAUGAAGUAGAUAAACUGGCUAUUCCGGUUCCUGUAGCAGUAACUAUUCCUAACCCUGUAAGUAGUGGUAUCAGUUGUAUGGCUCUGCACUGACAGACUUGAGUUUUGAGGGGUACUGAUAGGCUCUGAUUUCCUGGGGCAAUGUUAAUGUUGGGACUUAGAAAGACUAAGGUGCAGGUGCCUAUCCAGUUAGUGGGGAGGCAGAUGUAGGUCCACAUUCCACAUAGGAAGAAUAUACCUUGGCUGGGUAGACAGAACUUUACCCUGGCUUUUAAAGGAAUAGGAUACACUGUUUUUUCUUUACUACUUCUAUCUCUGUCUUUGACUUCUUCGUCUCUCUCUUUCUGACUGCCUCUGUCUGUCUCUUCCUCUCUCUGUCUCCUUCUCUUUGACUUCCUGUCUUUCUCUUUCUCUCUUUGUCUCUCUAUCUCUUCCUCUCUGACUUCUUGUCUCUUUCUGUCUUUCAUUUCUUCUGCCUCUGCCAUAUGCUUAUGCUGCUGUUCUCCCUUCUCCUUCCCCUUUUGAUGGCUUUGGCAGUGUAAGACUGCCACCUUCUUCGGUUUUUGCACUAUGUACAGUAACUCCAUGAUUUCCUUGUGGCAUUUAAUGGGGGUUCCCCGAGGUUGGGAACUCCCUUUCUUUCCAUAUUGCAGCAUGGGCAUGUAGGAUUACAUAAGCAUACUUGCUAUCUGUAUACACAUUUAUUCUUUUUCCCUUUCCCAGUACUAAGGCUCGGGUAAGUGCCACUAGUUCUGCUAACUGGGCACUUGUCCCUGGGGGAAGAGGCUUACUUUCAAGUACAGUUACAUCACUAACUAUGGUGUAACCUGCCCUUCGUAUCCCAUUCUUCACAAAUGAACUUCCAUUGGUAUAUAGGUUAAGGUCAGGAUUAGCUAAGGGGACUUCUAAGAGACCAUCUCGGGUGGCAUAAGUCUGGACUAUAAUUUGUUGGCAGCCAUGCUCAAUUGGUUCCCCAUCCUCUGGGAGAAAAGUGGCAGGGUUGAGGGCCACGCACAUGCAUAUUUGAAGCACCAGUCUCUCAAGAAGUAGUGCCUGGUAUCUAAGUAGGUGGUUGUCUGAUAGCCAUAAACUUCCUUUGGCACCUAGUGUGCCAUUUACAUCAUGAGUAGUCCAGACAGUGAGAUCUUUUCCUUGUAGUAUCUUGAUAGCCUCUGACACUAAGAUGGCCACCACCACAGUGAGGCCAGCCUUUUGAUACUACAUCAAUUUCCUUACUUAUGUAUACCUGCCACUGGUUGUGUGGUUGUCCCACGAGUCUGAGUAAGGACUCCAAGAGCUAUCCCUGCUCUCUCUGUGACGUAUAAAGAGAAGUUUUGUCCUGUCAGAAGGCUUAAAACUGGAGCUUGUGCGAGGGCCUGCUUUAAGGUUUUGAAGGCUGUUUCUGCCUCUGGUUCCCAUUCUACUAGAUGAAUAUUUGCCCUCUGGGUUUCCUUGAUUAGAGUAUAGAGGGGCCUGGCUAUCUCGCUGUAUCUGGGGAUCCAUGGUCAGCAAAAGCCAGUAAUUCCAAGGAACCCCCGCAACUGUUUUAAUGUCUUAGGGCAAGGAUAAGCCAGUAUAGGCUGUAUUCAUUCCUUGCUGAGGGCCCUGGUCCCUCUGGCUAAGAUUAGGUCUAGAUAUUUGACCUGCUGUAGGCAAAGCUGGGUCUUCGACCUAGACCCCUCUAUCCUUGAUUAGCUAGAAAGUUCAAGAGAUCUAAAGUAGCCUGCUGGCAUGAGGCUUCUGAAAUGGUAGCCAAAAGUAAAUCAUCCACAUACUGAAGGACCAGAGUGCCUGGACUUUAGAAGUGGCCUAGAUCUUGGGCCGUGCCUCACCAAACAGAUGAGGGCUAUCCCUAAACCCUUGGGGCAAGAUCAUCCAAGUAAGUUGUGAUGUGUGGUCUGUGGGAUCCUCAAAGGCAAAGAGAAACUGGGAGUCAGAGUGCAGGGGAAGACAGAAGGCAGCAUCCUUAAGGUCCAGAACUGUGAACCAUCCUGCUUCUUCUGGUAUUUGAGAGAGCAGGGUAUAGGGGUUGGGUACAACUGGAUAUAGAGGAAUUACUGCCUCAUUGAUGAGUCUAAGAUCUUGCACUAAUCUCCACUGACCAUUCGGCUUUUGUACUCCUAGAAUUGGGGUGUUGCAAAGACUGCUGCAUUUCCUUACUAAGCUUGAGCUUUUAAAUGUUUAACAAUAUCAUGUAAACCUUUAUGAGCUUCAGGCCUUAAGGGAUAUUGCCUUUGAUAAGGAAAAGUGGCGGGAUCUUUUAACCUGAUUUGGACUGGGCAGGCAUUUUUUUGCCCUUCCAAAUUGUCCUUCCAAUGCCCAGACGUCAGGGUUGAUUCCCUCCUCAAGUAGAGGACAACAAAUGGGUAACUUCUUCCCCAUAUUCAUGUAGAUAAUAGCUCCAGCCUUGGCUAAUAUAUCUCUCCCUAAUAAGGGUGUGGGACUUUCAGGCAUAACAAGAAAGGCAUGUGAAAAGAGCAAAGUCUCCCAAUUACAACUGAGGAGGUGGAAGAAAUCCCUGGUUACAGGCUGUCCCAGGAUUCCUCGGAUGGUAACGGACCUUGAGGACAGUCGUCCAGAACAGGAGAUUAACACUGAGAAGGCCACACCAGUGUCCAGGAGGAAGUCAAUUUCCUGGCCCUCAAUGGUUAAGCAUACCUGGGGUUCAGUGAGGGUGAUGACAUGAGCUGGCGCUUGCCCCGGGCACCCUCAGUCCUGUUGUCGGAUCAUCUGGUUGGGGGCUUCUGACCCAGAGAACAUUUGUCCUCUGGGGCAGUGUACCUUCCAGUGAUUGCCUCGGCAUAGUGGACAUGGAUGAGGGGACAGCUUGUGUCUCAUUGGACAAUCUUUUUUUAAAGUGUCCUAAUAAACCACACUGAUAAUAAGCCCUACUGGGUGGUGAUUGGCCUGCUCCAUUUUCUGUCCUCUCUGAGCCACCAAGGUUUGUUUGUCUGAGGGCCAUGAUUAAGGCUGCAGCCUUUCUCUGAUCUCGCUUUUCCUUUUGGGCCUGUUCCUCUUGGUCCCUAUUAUACAACACCAAGGUUACCAGGUUUAAUAAUGCCUCCAAAUUUUUUUCAGGGCCCAGGGCUUGCUUUUGGAACUUUCUCCUGAUAUCUGUGGCUGAUUGGGUAAUAAACUUAUCUUUUAGAAUCAAUUGACCCUCGAGUGAUUCAGGUGACAGGGGAGUAUAUUUUCUUAAGGCCUCCCAUAGUCACUCGAGGAAGGCAGAAGGAUUUUCUUCCUUUCCCUGAGUUAUGGUGGACAUCAUUGAAUAAUUCAUGGGCUUUUUAAUAAUUCUCCUUAGUCCUUCUAGAACACAGGUCAAAAGAUGUUUACAACUCCAGUCCUCAUGAUCUGAGUCAAGGUCCCAGUGGGGAUCCAUACUGGGGAUGGCUUGCUGACCGGUAGGGAAUUUAUCCCUUUCUUUGGUUGUCAUUCUAUCAUUUACUUGACUAAGAUACCACGUAUCUCCAAACUCUCAGGCUGCAGCUAAAGCUUCAUUCUUUUCAUUAAGGCCAGGGUUUGAUCUAACAGUAGCAUGACAUCUCUCCAAGCGAGGUCGAAGGUUUGCCCUAGACCCUGUAGGACAUCUAGGUACCUAUCAGGAUCAUCUGAAAACUUUGCCAGGUCUGCCUUGAUCUGCUUUAAGUCAGAGAGGGAGAAGGGGACAUGUACCUGGGUUGGGCCAAAUUCCCCUCCCCCUACAGCUUGAAGGGGACAUAACCGAUAGCCCGGGGGGGGGUUUGUGGUGCUUUGGAUAUUUCUUUGCUUAUUUCCUUCUGGGCAGGGGAGAUUAGAAGAGGAUUAUCAUUAAUAGGAAGGGGAGCUAUAGGGAGGCUAGGAUAUGGGGGUAAGCUGAGAGGUCCUCCUGUGGGAUGUAACUUGCAAGCUUUGCAUAGUUGU